rnacentral:rRNA from 1 species
AAGCCUACGGGGGGCAGCAGUGGGGAAUAUUGCACAAUGGGGGGAACCCUGAUGCAGCGACGCCGCGUGAGUGAAGAAGUAUUUCGGUACGUAAAGCUCUAUCAGCAGGGAAGAAAAAAGGACGGUACCUGAGUAAGAAGCCCCGGCUAACUACGUGCCAGCAGCCGCGGUAAUACGUAGGGGGCAAGCGUUAUCCGGAUUUACUGGGUGUAAAGGGAGCGUAGACGGCAGAGCAAGUCUGAAGUGAAAGCCCGCGGCCAAACUGCGGGCCUGCUUUGGAAACUGCCCG